rnacentral:sRNA from 1 species
AAGGGGCUGAUUUCCCUUCAGAGACUCCCAUUCCAGUCACCCCGGCCCUGGAUCCCCUGAGGAUGCUGAUGGAUGAUGCUGACGUGGCUGCCUGGCAGAACGAGGGCCUCCCAGCCGACCGCAUGUCCGUGGAGAAUGCCACCAUUCUCAUCAACUGUGAGCGCUGGCCACUCAUGGUUGACCCUCAGCUACAAGGCAUCAAAUGGAUCAAGAAUAAAUAUGGUGAAGAUCUCCAGGUCACGCAGAUUGGUCAGAAAGGCUACCUUCAAAUCAUAGAGCAGGCCCUGGAAGCUGGAGCUGUGGUGCUGAUUGAAAAUCUAGAGGAGUCCAUUGAUCCUGUUCUGGGACCCCUGCUUGGGAGAGAAGUCAUUAAAAAAGGACGAUUCAUUAAAAUUGGAGACAAAGAAUGUGAAUACAAUCCCAAGUUCCGGCUCAUCCUCCACACCAAGCUGGCUAAUCCUCGCUACCAGCCCGAGCUGCAGGCUCAGGCCACCCUGAUCAACUUUACCGUGACCAGGGAUGGCCUGGAGGACCAGUUGCUGGCUG